CCACUUCCGCUCCGCCGGCGCAUGCGCGGUACGGCCGGGAGGCCCCGCCGUCCUAACGGCAAAGACACGCAACGGUAGGUAGGCGAGCGUGUGACCGCCCCAGCGCCGCGCUGCUGCCACCUGCUGGUCGGAACGCGGCACUGCAGGCGUCGCUCCGCACUCCGCGCUGUCCCGGAACGGGCCCGGCGGUGCCGAGCAGCCGCUGCCGCCCGUGGAAGUGCGGGCACUGCCCGUACACACACAGCCGCUAGCUCUUGCAUCUCCAAAGUCAGUCAGUCACCGGGCUACAACUUCUGCUUUUGACAUCGUAAUUAGACUUCAUUAAUGGAUAGCCGGAGGCUGCAAGAUGGAAACGCGGUAGAUGAACCUCCCUUUGCAUCUCUCAGUUAGUUCCACGCUUACCUUGGAAACAAAAGAUGCUGCACACCAUGGAAACCUUAUUUGUAUGUCCCAAAACAUGCAUUGGUGGACGCACUGUGAACACCCAUUGGAGGCUAUGAAACGAUCCUUCCCGUGACACAGAAGUUACCUUCCCUCCUCUCGCUGCUGGGACUUAAACACGACCCGUCCUUUUCACCACAUUGCAGACUUGAGAUCCUUCAGACCUUCUGGGGAAGGAGUUUACAGAGUGCUGCCUUCUGGGUCUGGGAAAAACACCCGGCUGGGCCUCCUGACCCCCCGUUGGUGCUGAGCAUCAGAGACCUCCACCCCUCCCGGGGGAUGCAGCUCCAUCUGCACAGAGGUCUGUCAGCACCACCCCUUUGGGGAAGCGAUUUUCUCACACAGGUCAUUGAUAUCAUAACACGGAGCCAUUAAUAAUCGAAUGUAAAACGUGCUUCCAAUUACACCGAGGGCUUUCCGUUCGGUAAUGGCUUUCAACGGCCAUUUGUAACGCCAACGCUGUAUAAUCGCUGCUAAUAAAUGCGCAGGUAGCAGACCA